AACGAACGCUGGCGGCAGGCCUAACACAUGCAAGUCGAGCGCCCCGCAAGGGGAGCGGCGGACGGGUGAGUAACACGUGGGAACGUACCCUUUGCUACGGAAUAGUCUCGGGAAACUGGGGGUAAUACCGUAUGUGCCCUUCGGGGGAAAGAUUUAUCGGCAAAGGAUCGGCCCGCGUUGGAUUAGGUAGUUGGUGGGGUAAUGGCCUACCAAGCCGACGAUCCAUAGCUGGUUUGAGAGGAUGAUCAGCCACACUGGGACUGAGACACGGCCCAGACUCCUACGGGAGGCAGCAGUGGGGAAUCUUAGACAAUGGGCGCAAGCCUGAUCUAGCCAUGCCGCGUGAGCGAUGAAGGCCUUAGGGUUGUAAAGCUCUUUCAGUGGGGAAGAUAAUGACUGUACCCACAGAAGAAGCCCCGGCUAACUCCGUG
rnacentral:rRNA from 2 species